CAACAGCCACCGUUUACUAGAAUAUAGUUAUCCUACUUGGAUAACUGUGGCAAUUCUAGAGCUAAUACAUGCAAAAAAGCUCCGCCCGCAAGGAACGAGCGCAUUUAUUAGAAUAAAAACCAAUCGGGUUUCGGCCCGUAAUUUGGUGAAUCUGAAUAACUUUGCCAAUCGCACAGUCCUAGUACUGGCGAUGUAUCUUUCAAGUGUCUGCCUUAUCAACUUUCGAUGGUAGGUUAUACGCCUACCAUGGUAGUAACGGGUAACGGAGAAUAAGGGUUCGACUCCGGAGAGGGAGCCUGAGAAACGGCUACCACAUCCAAGGAAGGCAGCAGGCGCGCAAAUUACCCACUUCCAGAACGGAGAGGUAGUGACGAAAAAUAACGAGACAGUCCUCUUCGAGGUCUGUCAUCGGAAUGGGUACAAUUUAAAUCCUUUAACGAGGAUCUAUUGGAGGGCAAGUCUGGUGCCAGCAGCCGCGGUAAUUCCAGCUCCAAUAGCGUAUAUUAAAGUUGUUGCGGUUAAAACGCUCGUAGUUGGAUCUGCGGCCUCGGAGAACGGUCCCCCGAAAGGGUGGUCACUGUCUCUCCUAGCCUAAAUUCGAGUCGUCUCUAGGUGCUCUUUACCGGGUGCUUAGAGUGACUAGAACGUUUACUUUGAAAAAAUUAGAGUGCUUAAAGCAGGCGAAAUAGCCUGAAUAAGGUGCAUGGAAUAAUGGAAUAGGACCUCGGUUCUAUUUUGUUGGUUUUCGGAACCCGAGGUAAUGAUUAAGAGGAACAGACGGGGGCAUUCGUAUUCCGGCGCUAGAGGUGAAAUUCUUGGACCGCCGGAAGACGGACGACUGCGAAAGCAUUUGCCAAGAA
rnacentral:rRNA from 1 species